CUGCGAAUGGCUCAUUAAAUCAGUUAUCGUUUAUUUGAUAGUACCUUACUACUUGGAUAACCGUGGUAAUUCUAGAGCUAAUACAUGCUGAAAACCCCGACUUCGGAAGGGGUGUAUUUAUUAGAUAAAAAACCAAUGCCCUUCGGGGCUCCUUGGUGAUUCAUAAUAACUUCUCAGAUCGCAUGGCCUUGCGCCGGCGACGGUUCAUUCAAAUUUCUGCCCUAUCAACUUUCGAUGGUAAGGUAUUGGCUUACCAUGGUUUCAACGGGUAACGGGGAAUUAGGGUUCGAUUCCGGAGAGGGAGCCUGAGAAACGGCUACCACAUCCAAGGAAGGCAGCAGGCGCGCAAAUUACCCAAUCCCGACACGGGGAGGUAGUGACAAUAAAUACUGAUACAGGGCCCUUAUGGGUCUUGUAAUUGGAAUGAGUACAAUUUAAACCUCUUAACGAGGAACAAUUGGAGGGCAAGUCUGGUGCCAGCAGCCGCGGUAAUUCCAGCUCCAAUAGCGUAUAUUAAAGUUGUUGCAGUUAAAAAGCUCGUAGUUGAACCUUUGGCCUGGCUGGCAGGUCCGCCUCACCGCGUGCACUUGUCCGGCCGGGCCUUCUCUUCUGGAGAACCUCAUGCUCUUCACUGGGUGUGUUGGGGACCAGGACUUUUACUUUGAAAAAAUUAGAGUGUUCAAAGCAGGCCUUUGCUCGAAUACGUUAGCAUGGAAUAAUAGAAUAGGACGUGCGGUCCUAUUUUGUUGGUUUCUAGGACCGCCGUAAUGAUUAAUAGGGACAGUCGGGGGCAUCAGUAUUCAAUUGUCAGAGGUGAAAUUCUUGGAUUUAUUGAAGACUAACUACUGCGAAAGCAUUUGCCAAGGAUGUUUUCAUUAAUCAGUGAACGAAAGUUAGGGGAUCGAAGACGAUCAGAUACCGUCGUAGUCUUAACCAUAAACUAUGCCGACUAGGGAUCGGGCGGUGUUAUUAUUUUGACUCGCUCGGCACCUUACGAGAAAUCAAAG
rnacentral:rRNA from 1 species